rnacentral:rRNA from 1 species
AUUGAACGCUGGCGGUAUGCCUUACACAUGCAAGUCGAACGGUAGAGGGGCAACCCUUGAGAGUGGCGAACGGGUGAGUAAUACAUCGGAACGUGCCCAGUCGUGGGGGAUAACGUAGCGAAAGCUACGCUAAUACCGCAUACGGCCUGAGGGUGAAAGCGGGGGAUCGCAAGACCUCGCGCGAUUGGAGCGGCCGAUGGCAGAUUAGGCAGUUUGUGGGGGAAAGGCCUACCAAGCCUGCGAUCUGGAGCUGGUCUGAGAGGACGACCAGCCACACUGGGCCUGGGACACGGCCCAGACUCCUCCGGGAGGCAGCAGGGGGGAAUCUUGCGCAAGGGGCGGAAGCCUGGCGCAGCGCCGCCGCGUACGGGAAGAAGGCCUUCGGGUUGUAACCCGUUUUCAGGAGGGACGAAGCCACUCGGGUUAACAGCCCAGAGGGUGACGGUACCUCCAGAAGAAGCCCCGGCUAACUACGUGCCAGCCGCCGCAGUAAGAC